UACGAAGGGGGCUAGCGUUGUUCGGAAUUAUUGGGCGUAAAGAGCUCGUAGGCGGUUCGUCGCGUCGGCUGUGAAAUCCCGAGGCUCAACCUCGGGUCUGCAGUCGAUACGGGCGGACUGGAGUUCGGCAGGGGAGACUGGAAUUCCUGGUGUAGCGGUGAAAUGCGCAGAUAUCAGGAGGAACACCGAUGGCGAAGGCAGGUCUCUGGGCCACUACUGACGCUGAGAAGCGAAAGCAUGGGGAGCGAACAGG
rnacentral:rRNA from 1 species